ensembl:snRNA U6 U6 spliceosomal RNA
GCACUCACUUUGGCAGCACAUAUACUGAAAUUAGAAUGAUACAGAGUAGAUUAGCAUGGCCCUUGUGCAAGGAUGACAUGCAAAUUCAUUAUGCAUUCCAUAUUUUU